rnacentral:rRNA from 1 species
UACGAAGGGGGCUAGCGUUGCUCGGAAUUACUGGGCGUAAAGGGCGCGUAGGCGGAUGUCUAAGUUGGGGGUGAAAUCCCGGGGCUCAACCUCGGAAUUGCCUUCAAAACUGGACAUCUUGAGUUCGGGAGAGGUGAGUGGAACUCCGAGUGUAGAGGUGAAAUUCGUAGAUAUUCGCAAGAACACCAGUGGCGAAGGCGGCUCACUGGCCCGGUACUGACGCUGAGGUGCGAAAGCGUGGGGAGCAAACAGG